GACAAUCAGAAAAAUAUAGAAAAUUGCCAGAAUGAUCCUUUACAGACAUUUGAGAUGAACAGUGUAAAUGAGGCCUGAAAUACAGAGAUGAGGUAAUAAAACAGGACCUGCCUAUGUUGAUAUUCUACGCUUGCAAUUAAUCAAAUUAAGUACAACCAAACGUCUAAAUAAACUGCUUUAUUAAUAAGCAGAAUUGACACACUUGUGCAUUGAAGUCAAUUAUUUCUAGUGAUUUAGUGUUUUUCUCUCUUCCUCCUUCCACCUCCUCGUUUUGUUUUCAUGGUAUCAUGUUUGUGUUUGUGUUGACCGCGGAUGCUCUCUGAGGCUGAGAGCAGAAACAUCCUGAGCGCUGCAUGAAUGUAUUCUGUGUGUGAUGGGAUGUGACAGGUCAAUCUCCGCAGAGAGGACAGUCCCAGGUUGCCACGGCUACCGACAGUCUGGCACGGCAGGUAAAGCUUCCCUCCAACCCCCCGAGGGAGAGACGCUGUGAAUUAAUUCUGCUUUAGACCUUGUUUCUUCUUCUUCCUCCACGGCGGCUGGAGAUGGAGGCGAUAAGGAGCCCGCAGUUAUCCGUUCUGACACAAUGCAGAGCUGGAAUCACAUUUUAAAACAUGCCGGGACUGUGCAAGGGUGGAUGUUUGGCUCAGUUUAACAGCCCUGUUAAGGUUCAAGCUCAGUCAUUACUCGGUGGUAUAUGAGGCGAGGAGGAGGAGGAGGAGGAGGAGGGAGCUGCGGUGUCAAGCCUGACUGACAGCAGAGCUCUAACCUCCAGCCAUGACCGCUGCGGUGAGUAACGGCUGCACCGAGCGUCAGAAGAGCUUUAUGUGUGUACGUGACUUUAAUUCACCUCACCUAGCGGCAUCCUGAACCGCAUGCAGAUAAAACAGGGACACUCAGUGAUAGGAAGCACCUGAACACUAAUAUCAUCCACCUGCAGAGCUGCAACACACCUGCAGCUCCACUUUAAAAUGUAACACCGACGGGCAACAACAGUGACGGCAGCAGCAGACGUAACGACAACUCGACACGAUUCAUCUAUUUUGAAUGUUACCUUCUUGCAGACGGCACCAAACGCAUCCAAUCAGCCGAAGAAGACGUUUCCCUUAAACAUCGGUUACUUCUUAAUGUGCUGACGAUGGCAGAUUGUUGCAGUGGAGGCCUCAGACUCGGUGUUGGUGGUGAUUACAUCAUGGCUGAUCUGGCAGACGGCUGCAGGCCCGUGCCAGCUCCAGGCCAUGUGGUGAGGACGGGCCAGUCUGCACAGGAAGUGACUGAGGAGGGACGAUGACUGCUGAUUCAGGACUGACUCAGUUCACCUCCUCAAACUGAGUCUGUUGUUCAUCAGACCGGCCAAGACAUUUCAAUGGAAAAUAUUUUGGAUGCACUAAGACUUGUAAUACUCUCUUACUCUGACUCUCGGAGGAAACGUCCUAUUGAAAAAUCAAUAGAGCUCGCUCUGUUUCUGGAUCCAUUACUGAGGAGAGUGGAAAUGUGGUCUGAGCAGCCGAGAAAGAGCCAAGAAAGACUCUCUGCCAGGGAGAACAUGCAUCCAAAAUAAAAUUAAGUAAUAGCAAUAACAAUGGAAAAAUAAUCAUUUAUAAAUAUAAAAGUCCUGAACAGGACUUAUGUAAGUGAAGCAGGAGAAGCAGCAACAUCUGUGUAUCACAAGUAGAAGAUGAUAAAAACAAUCUGGGUGUUUAUUUCAAAACAUAUUUGCUGUUGUUUUUUAGUAGUUUUCAU